CUCUUUGUAGCUCAGUUGGUUAGAGUCCUGAACCGGUAUCGCAGGGCGCAGGUUCGAUUCAUGCAAGAUG